rnacentral:lncRNA from 1 species
UAAUUCAAGUCCUUUGAAUUACGUACGAUCUCAACUCGGAAGUUAUUACAGGUUUUCUCAAGGAUUAUUUCUGGUGAGGGUCUCCUGCGUAUCUGACCAGGUUAGACGUUCCAUUAUGAGUUUAUUAUUAAGGCUAUAUGCAUGAUAGGGUAAUGUCUGUUUAAUCGUAAGAUUUUAUAUGCUUAUUUAUCAUAUUUAUUACUUAAUAUGAUACAUGUUCUGUUACUUUGCUGAUAUAUCUGAUUUAAUAUAUGUGUUAAUAUGAGCUGUAGCUAUUAUUGAUUAUGUGUUAAUCUGAGCAGUAGCUAUUACUGAUUAUUCAAUAAAUCUGGUAAUUGAUUGAUCAUCUAGUUAGGGCCCGUAUGCUAGCGAUUGUGCUUAUUGCACUUCUGUUACGCGGUGGGCCUUAGUAACCGCCACAACUAACUAAAGUCGUGGGCUUUGAUAAGCGCCACGCUAACUCUACGUGGGCCAUUUUAGUGCCACUAACUCUACGUGGGUCGUCAGCAUAUGUGAGCCGGGAUCCCAAAUAAAAUAUGAAUAUAAAUUAGAUUAUAGAAUUAGCCUUAUGUGUUAUAUGUUGUAUACUUUCUAUAUGAAUAUUUGUACCAUAGAGUGAUUAGGACGUAGAUCCUCACUCAGUGAUUAGCACUGACCCUUACUUUCCAUUUCAGAGCGACAGUAGGUUUUACUGGGUCACACACUGCAACAUGGUAUCAUCGAGCUCCGGGGUCGGUCAUCAUGGUGACGACGCCAGGUAGAUAUCGAAGAUUGUGUCUUGAUCCUCGUUUUGUAUUUAAAGUUUGUUUGAAACUCUUACUUCCAUCAUGUGCAUACGUUAUGAGUGGUUGUGUACUAGUACAAUGUGAGAUAUGGUUUUGUAAAUAUAGUGGCCGAGAGGGCAAGUAUAUGGUUACUCUGGUCCGAGCCUGUGAAGCUCGAGACUUCUGUUCUAUAUGUAUAUGUGUCCUGCUGGACUUCUGGUAUAGUG